CCUACGGGUGGCUGCAGUAGGGAAUCUUGCGCAAUGGGCGAAAGCCUGACGCAGCGACGCCGCGUGAGUGAUGAAGGCCUUCGGGUUGUAAAGCUCUGUUCUGUGGGAACAAAAAAAUGAGUGUACCACAGGAGAAAGGACCGGCUAACUUCGUGCCAGCAGCCGCGGUAAUACGAGGGGUCCAAGCGUUGUUCGGAAUCAUUGGGCGUAAAGCGGGUGUAGGUGGACUUGUAAGUCAGGAGUGAAAGCCCCAGGCUCAACCUGGGAAGUGCUUU
rnacentral:rRNA from 1 species